CCACCACCACCACCACCACCACCAACGAACCUUCCCUCUCGCCGCCACCGCCAUCGCCGCAGGAGACUCGCCGUGCGGUGCCAGGAUCCCUCCCUCCCUCCACACCACACGACAGAGCGCUGCCACUUACCUGGUCCUAGCUCCUAAUUGUUUCUCUGGUCUACAUCUUGGCUUAUACCCGCCGUCGAUUCCUGCACUGAAGUGGAUCACGUUUCUUUAUACAAACGUGAACUUUUUUUCUUCUUCUACGGGUUUAUUUUCCCCCCACUCUUUUCCUCUGGGAAAGUGUACAAAACCCACUUUUCGUUGGUGCACACUCGAAGGAUUGAAGAGAUUAUUCUGUCCCUCCUAUGGUUUCUCGUGAGGACGAACAAACAUUCAAGUCUGGUUCAAACCUCAGACACUUCUGGAUUGGAAAAUUCGAGCCAUGGGCCCGCUGUGUCUAGCGGCUGCCCAGUAGUGGUCAACGAGUGAAGAACUCAACCUCUCCCCGAGGUCUGGACAUUCCAGGGAGGACUGACGUCAGGAACCCUCUCCUCCCUCCCUCAUUCCCUCCUUCCUUCACCUCUAAAGGAAAGAACAUUCCAAAACCAGGCAGACUCUCACACUCAACCUCGGAGAGGCGUCUGCGAAGUUAACAAGUCUCAAAUUGCAACAGCCAUUUCCCACAACCAAAGCGAAAAAAAAUCCCAACAUUCUCACCCAAAAGCGGACGAAGCUUUUUGAAGAAUAGGCUCUAUCCCCUUCCCUGCAGCGCUUGGAAGUAUCAAGUGACCACCACAGUCGUUGGCUCCUUCUUAUCAAAUUCCAGCUCCACACGUGUUUGACCGAAGGUCAUUUCGCAUUUGUGUUUAUACAGAAUCAGAAUCAGGUCUUUCUUCAGUGCCUACGCCCGUCAACUGUCCAGAUUUAAUCGACGCUGCCGCACCAGAGCAUCUGAGUGAGCGCUUGAGUGACAGACGCUCAGAAAUCUGAGUCCUUUCAGCGAUUAGGAAUCCUGAGAGUGGAGUGAAGUAGAGCGCGUCUCACGCCGUUUAUCUUUCAUCAUACCCCAUCUCUGUACACGUGGGGCUGCGACUGUUGCAGUGUUUGUUAGCCUGGGUACUUCUCACUCACUAACGCCUACCCCCCGCCUGAGUUCACGUACGCACUGACGCGCAAACGUACAAACAAACACAUAUCUCCUGGGUUUUCGUGCGUGGCACUGUGUGGAGGAGUGAGUAAGUAAACAAGAGACAAGAGUUGUCAAGCAUUUUGUGGUCGGCAGGAGAUGUGACCAAGCUGGAAAGCACGCGCGUUUGGGGUUCCAUUCUCGCCCGAAACGAUAGAAGCUCUCGCAGAUACCGCGUCACGUGACUGCAGGAGAUCGCCGGUGCUUGCAGAUUGGAGCAACGGCGUGUUUAUGAUGAGCAACUGAAUCUUUGACAAGACAGCUUUUUAAGGAUAGUAUAUUUUGACCCUGCAAUUUCAAGCUGCAUCUUUCAAAGAGAGACUGGAUUAGCAGGCAGGCUCUUGCUAUUCAAGCCCAAGUUUGUGGAUUUAUGUGAGAGAACAGUUAUUGGAUUAUUGUUCAGAAAUUGAAGUCGGAUAACGUCUUGAACUGAGGUGGAUUGCAUCACUUUGACCAGUCCUGGUCAUGGUGUAAGCAUCUAGCCUCCUAGUGAGAGUGCUGCCCCCCGCCUCCUCCCCGCCCCGCCCCGCCCCCUUGCCAUCAUGUGGUGGGGAUCCCAGUUCUACUAUGCCCUGCUCGGCCUAGUGGCCGCUGCUGCCUUGCAGCUCGACUCUGCACAUGCUUCAGGUCCUCCAAAGAUCACAUUGGCGCCGCGAGACAAGAAAGUCCUGGAAGAGGGCACCGUCAGCUUCUUCUGUCGCGCUUCGGGCAACCCCGCGCCCUCGUUCCACUGGGAGCGUCUCGGGAAGAGAGUCAAUGCCAGGAGGAACCGUUUCGAAGUGAUCGAGGCCCCGCACAUUUCUGUGCUGCGGAUCAAGCCAGUCAAGGCUAACAAGGAUAACUCCACGUUCACCUGCGUGGCCAAUAAUGGAUUAGGCGAAGCCCGGGCGGAUGCCCAGCUCAAGGUCAUUCGGAAAGUGGACGGGAGAGAUGGUGAGUUUUUUGUUGUUUAACCUACCUCUUUUUUCAUGGGGGGAGAGGGGGGGGGAGAGGCUUUUGUGAUUUUGGGGUCUAGUUCGUCACUCACCUCAUAUCUUAUAAUCCACUUCUCAUUCACAGCGCAAGUAUAUGUUUAUAUAGAAUUAAUCAGAACUCCCCCCCCCCCCAAUGGCCACGAGGGCUAAACUAUUUGUUUUAAAGUUGCCUAGUCAAGAAACGAACGACUUUUUCUGAAGAACAAGGGCUACUUUCGGCUUCUUUGACCCCUCUUGAUGACGUCCACUAUGCCUUUCACCGAGAAUUUUAAAUUUUGAAAAAAAAACACAUUCUUAAUUGCUAAAGACGUGCAACGUUGAAUGCAACUGUGGUGAUUUAAUUCAAUUGAAUGAACGAAACCCGUAGCAUUAAAAAGUUUCAAUAUUGUUAUACCCAUGUGCCAGUGGUACCAUGCAACGUGGCAAAGUUGAUGUUUAAACAAGUGUAUAUAUUAUGAUCAUUUCAGACUGUAAGAGUAACAGCCAGAAAAGACAAACAAACGCAACGAAGAACAAAUCAGAAAAUGAAAUAAUCAAAUCAAGUUUAAAAAAAAUUAGUAUAGGAAUUUAACAAAACGAAGCAA
rnacentral:misc_RNA from 1 species